UCCUUGGUGGUCCACUGGUUAGGACUCUGCACUUUCACUGCAGGGGUUGUGGGUUUGAUCCCUGGUCAGGGAA
rnacentral:tRNA from 1 species